CCUACGGGAGGCUGCAGUCGAGAAUCAUUCACAAUGGGGGAAACCCUGAUGGUGCGACGCCGCGUGGGGGAAUGAAGGUAUUCGGAUUGUAAACCCCUGUCAUGUGGGAGCAAAUUAAAAAGAUAGUACCACAAGAGGAAGAGACGGCUAACUCUGUGCCAGCAGCCGCGGUAAUACAGAGGUCUCAAGCGUUGUUCGGAAUCACUGGGCGUAAAGCGUGCGUAGGCUGUUUCGUAAGUCGUGUGUGAAAGGCGCGGGCUCAACCCGCGGACGGCACAUGAUACUGCGAGACUAGAGUAAGGGAGGGGGAACCGGAAUUCUCGGUGUAGCAGUGAAAUGCGUAGAUAUCGAGAGGAACACUCGUGGCGAAGGCGGGUUCCUGGACAUUAACUGACGCUGAGGCACGAAGGCCAGGGGAGCGAAAGGGAUUAGAUACCCGGGUAGUC
rnacentral:rRNA from 1 species